UACGUAGGGGGCUAGCGUUGUCCGGAAUCAUUGGGCGUAAAGCGCGUGUAGGCGGCCCUGUAAGUCCGUUGUGAAAGUCAAAGGCUCAACCUUUGAAAGCCGAUGGAUACUGCAGGGCUAGAGUCCGGAAGAGGCGAGUGGAAUUCCUGGUAUAGCGGUGGAAUGCGCAGAUAUCAGGAGGAACACCAAUAGCGAAGGCAGCUCGCUGGGACGGUACUGACGCUAAGGCGCGAAAGCGUGGGGAGCGAACAGG
rnacentral:rRNA from 1 species